GCCCGGCUAACUCAAUCGGUAGAGUGUCAGACUUUUAAUCUGAAAGUUGCGGGUUCGACCCCCGCGUUGGGCG
rfam:Lobosporangium transversale strain NRRL 3116 BCR41scaffold_19, whole genome shotgun sequence.